AGAAAAAUGUACCUGUCUAUGGAAGAAACUUGUUUAACUGGCUUAACGAGAAGGGCAUUUGGCAUAGCAAAUGCUAAAUUGAAAUUGUCGAGCAUUUACGACGAAUAAUAAGAGAGUAGUGAGUGCAUAAUUAAAUGAAUACAAUAAUAUGAAUAUUUAAAUACCGUAGAAGUUUUAUAUAGUCUCUUAAAGCCAGUUUAGAAAAUCUUUAUUUUUGCCAUUAAUUUGAAUGCUAUUUUACUUUUUCUUAACGACCCUUGCCGCGUUCUUUAAAUAUCCGUAACUUGUGAUAACCAAUUGGACGGCAUUCGUUCCGUGUUCUCUCAUUCAACAGAGAUUCAUUCACCUUUUAACUCCGGAUUCUGCACUAGUUUAGGCCACAAUUGAAAGGCGUGAAAUACUAAUAUGAAGAACACGCCUGGCAGUCAAAGGGAAAGGAAAGGAAAGAAAAGGUCGAGUUCCAACACCGAUUUUCCGUAUCUGCCCCGUCCAAGUCCAAGUUUGCAGGCCACCCGAUCCGAUCAUUAGCCACGUUUACUAAUGAUUUUCAACCAACCUAGACCUCAGCCUAAGAGACCCUGGGAACCUGGGAAUGAGAACUGUUCCAAGUUUUCGCAUGCAUGUGAUAAUGGUUUUUGGCGGCGCUUUGAUUUUCCGCCCCGUUUCGAAUGGGACAGCGAACAAGACAAUAAAUCAAUAAUUAUUGCAAAAUAAUACUGCAGUUGCCCCCCUCAAAAAACCAAAAAGAAACAAGAUAAAUUGCGAUACUGUGCAGCGGACGGGCAGGCGUAUGACUUAAUUUGCCAAUUUGAACGCCAAAGGCUAAAGCGUACUUACUUCUUGGCCGAAAAAGGCCAGGCAGCUGGCCAACAUGGUCCCCAGAUCGUUCUAAGCUUCAAUUUCCGUGCCAGUGGCAGCAACAGCAACAGCAGCAGUCAAACUCCGUUGUCUUAUUAAGGCCCAAAAGCAAACGCGUGCGCGGUGCCCAGCAAAAAGCGACAAGCCAGGCCAAAAGCGAACAGCAGCCGGCUGGCAGAAAAAAAAAAAUAAGAAUUCUAUUAUGCCCAUGCCACACAAUGUGAUUAACUUGUUGACCCUGUCGAAAGAGCAAACAAUAAAAGUGGGUAUUCUUAAAAA